AACCCGGAGAAAUUCGGACUAAUAUCCCAUGAUGAUAUUGAGGGGCAUCCUUUAAUAUUUAAAGCUCAGGCGGUACGGGAUGGGCAUGCGGAACAUUAGCUAGUUGGCAGGGUAACGGCCUACCAAGGCUACGAUGUUUAGGGGACCUGAGAGGGUUAUCCCCCACACUGGUACUGAGACACGGACCAGACUCCUACGGGAGGCAGCAGUGAGGAAUAUUGGUCAAUGGGCGCAAGCCUGAACCAGCCAUCCCGCGUGAAGGAAGAAGGCGCUAUGCGUUGUAAACUUCUUUUCCAGGGGGUGAAUAAUUCCGAUGUAUCGGGAGAUGACGGUACCCUGGGAAUAAGCAUCGGCUAACUCCGUGCCAGCAGCCGCGGUAAUACGGAGGAUGCGAGCGUUAUCCGGAUUUAUUGGGUUUAAAGGGUGCGUAGGCGGAACAAUAAGUCAGUGGUGAAAUUCUGCAGCUUAACUGUAGACUUGCCGUUGAUACUGUUGGUCUUGAGUAUGGUCAAGGCAGGCGGAAUGUGUAAUGUAGCGGUGAAAUGCUUAGAUAUUACACAGAACACCGAUUGCGAAGGCAGCUUGCUGGGCCAUUACUGACGCUGAUGCACGAAAGCGUGGGGAUCGAACAGGAUUAGAUACCCUGGUAGUCCACGCAGUAAACGAUG
rnacentral:rRNA from 1 species